rnacentral:lncRNA from 1 species
GCAUUGUAGUGCAACUAUAUCCUUAGAAGAUCAUAAGUUGGUAAAUGGUUGUGAGGCUCGGUAGGUAUAUAUAUAUAUCAAUGUUGGACUUGUAAUCAUACUCAUGGACAAUUGAUCCAUCUUAUCGGGUGAUCGGAGAUGUUUGUUUGGGUGACUGGUGACCAGUGAUAGAGGUCGAAUUUUUAACUUCGGGGAGAGAGAAUAAGCUUAAACAUUUGGAAUUUUCCUCUGCAGCCAAUGCCCAUGCUCUAUAUGUAUUAAAGAGAUUGUGAGAAGGAUGGGGUUCAAUGUCACUUCAUGUGAAGCAUCCAAAAUCAAAAGUUUUGAGCCCUUAUGAGAAGAAGCCGAAAAAAUAAGGUAAACAUAGACAUUUAUUCCAACCAAUAUGACAUUAGAAAUUAUUUUUUUCUGAUACAAAAGUGAUAGUAUUUUAUUGAUGGAUAGAAAUUAUACAAAUACAAAAAUUGAGCUAAGUUCUACAGAAUUAGGCGAGCAUCUAUACACCAAUACGGAAUGCGACAAUAGUCCAUGACUCAACCGAACCCUCCGUAUAUGUUUGGCAAUAAUGGCUUUUAAUGGUUGGGCUCCAGCUAAUUGGGCUAGACGGUAGAAGAACAAGAAACCGUUUGUCC